rnacentral:rRNA from 1 species
AGCGAACGCUGGCGGCAGGCCUAACACAUGCAAGUCGAACGGAUCCUUCGGGAUUAGUGGCGGACGGGUGAGUAACACGUGGGAACGUGCCCUUUGGUUCGGAACAACUCAGGGAAACUUGAGCUAAUACCGGAUGUGCCCUUCGGGGGAAGGAUUUAUCGCCAUUGGAGCGGCCCGCGUCUGAUUAGCUAGUUGGUGAGGUAACGGCCCACCAAGGCGACGAUCAGUAGCUGGUCUGAGAGGAUGAUCAGCCACACUGGGACUGAGACACGGCCCAGACUCCUACGGGAGGCAGCAGUGGGGAAUCUUGCGCAAUGGGCGAAAGCCUGACGCAGCCAUGCCGCGUGAAUGAUGAAGGUCUUAGGAUUGUAAAAUUCUUUCAGCGGGGACGAUAAUGACGGUACCCGCAGAAGAAGCUCCGGCUAACUUCGUG